CAGGCCCUGAAGCAGGUGGGACGGCCCAAGGCCAGCACCCAGCGUGGGGAAGCCAGGCCCUGGUACAGGUGAGAUGACACAGGACCAGCACCCAGCACGGGGAAGCCACACCCUGGUACAGGUGGGAUGGCCCAGGACCAGCACCCAGCACGGGGAAGCCACACCCUGGUACAGGUGGGAUGACCCAGGACCAGCACCCAGCACAGGGAAGCCAGGCCCGGGUACAGGUGGGACAACCCAGGACCAGCAACCAGCACGGGGAAGCCAGGCCCAGGUACAGGUGGGAU